UUGUCAGACAAUUAAACAAUCCUGCUGACUGGUUGGCGAACUUGAGUGAAGCAAAUGAAUCUAUUGUAUUCUUCAGGCCUCCAUUCCAAAAGGAAUUGCUUGACCUUGUAACACAGGAUGUAUCUGGUACCUUAUUUUUUAGAAAUUCUUGAUAAUAAACUGGUAGGGGUCUAAGCCAAACCCCAGCUUGACUUUUGAAAAAAA
rnacentral:lncRNA from 1 species